AGUGAACGCUGGCGGUAGGCCUAACACAUGCAAGUCGAACGGCAGCACAGUAAGAGCUUGCUCUUACGGGUGGCGAGUGGCGGACGGGUGAGGAAUACAUCGGAAUCUACUUUUUCGUGGGGGAUAACGUAGGGAAACUUACGCUAAUACCGCAUACGACCUACGGGUGAAAGCAGGGGAUCUUCGGACCUUGCGCGAUUGAAUGAGCCGAUGUCGGAUUAGCUAGUUGGCGGGGUAAAGGCCCACCAAGGCGACGAUCCGUAGCUGGUCUGAGAGGAUGACCAGCCACACUGAAACUGGGACACGUUCCGACCCCUUACGGAGGCAGCAGUGGGGAAUAUUGGACAAUGGGCGCAAGCCUGAUCCAGCCAUACCGCGUGGGUGAAGAAGGCCUUCGGGUUGUAAAGCCCUUUUGUUGGGAAAGAAAAGCAGCAGGUUAAUACCCCGCUGUUCUGACGGUACCCAAAGAAUAAGCACCGGCUAACUUCGUG
rnacentral:rRNA from 1 species